rnacentral:rRNA from 1 species
GAGUUUGAUCUUGGCUCAGAUUGAACGCUGGCGGCAGGCCUAACACAUGCAAGUCGAGCGGAUGACGGGAGCUUGCUCCUUGAUUCAGCGGCGGACGGGUGAGUAAUGCCUAGGAAUCUGCCUGGUAGUGGGGGACAACGUUUCGAAAGGAACGCUAAUACCGCAUACGUCCUAUGGGAGAAAGCAGGGGACCUUCGGGCCUUGCGCUAUCAGAUGAGCCUAGGUCGGAUUAGCUAGUUGGUGGGGUAAUGGCUCACCAAGGCGACGAUCCGUAACUGGUCUGAGAGGAUGAUCAGUCACACUGGAACUGAGACACGGUCCAGACUCCUACGGGAGGCAGCAGUGGGGAAUAUUGGACAAUGGGCGAAAGCCUGAUCCAGCCAUGCCGCGUGUGUGAAGAAGGUCUUCGGAUUGUAAAGCUCUUUCGCGAGGGAGAAAUUGCACCGGACAAUAACCUGGUGUAGAUGACGGUACCUUGAUAAGAAGCACGGCUAACUACGUGCCAG